AAUGAUUGAAUACAGUUAAUGUGACACUUUAUUGAAACCCAAUCCCCGAAUCAGAGGCCCAAUCUGGCCGGUUAAAAAACUCAAGAUGGUAAUAAAAUUGACAUUGAAAUACAGAUCGAUUUAGCGUGAAUGGUCGAUACAUUUGGCGUUCGACAAUUACUAUACCCGAAUUCUGUGAUAAAAUAAAUGAAGUUAAAGCAUUUUGAUUGGUUUGAAAAGCGAAAUACGAAGCAAACGUGUGAAUUCACCGCAUACUUACGCACCAAAUGCAUGUGCAUACAUAAAUACAUUGAUAUACGAAUGAUAUCAAAUGACGCUUGUUGAAUUCGUGUUUAGCCUCUCGAUCUUGUUAUAAUUCCUCCAGCGGCGGUUUCAUUUAACUUCAUCGGUUGAGCCAACGUAUUCCUUUGUCCACCAGGAGGGUAAAAGCGCUUGACCACGGUAGAGUUAUACUUGAAUAGACUGCGUCUCACUGAAUCACACAUCGAUACUUGAGCCAACGUAUUCCUUUGUCCACCAGAAGAGUAAAAGCGCCUGCCGAGUUAUAUUUGAAUAAACAUCGUCUCUCUGAAUCAUACAUCAAUACAUCAGCCAAGGUAUUCCUUUGUCCACCAAAAGAGUAAAAACGGUUGCCCGCGGCAGAGUUAUAUUUUACUGAUAAACUGCGUCUCAAUGAAUUUCAUAUACGUCGAUACUUGAGCCAACGUAUUCCUUUGUCCACCAGAAGAGUAAAAGUGCUUGCCCGCAGCAGAGCUAUAUUUGAAUAAACUGCGUAGCACUGAAUAAUACUGUGUUACUGACCGUUGUUUUAUAUCCACGAUAUAUCUUUUCCAAAAGUAUAAUUUCGAAGUACUUUGCCGCAGAGGUCAUACAAAUUUGCUUGCAAGUGACACAAUGAGGCUUACUGAUCCAAGCAGGAAACUAUUCAGACGAAGAGGUGAAACCUGAUUGGUCUAUUUUCCCGCACAUGCAUGGGAAGAGAUUUGACAAUGGUUUGUUGUUAAUUCAGCCUUGCGCUUUGCACGUGUAUGAUCACAUGAUUGACAGAUUGACCUUUGUACCAGACCUUUGUACUCCAGGAGACUUUGCACAACUUUACUCUUGUCCUAACGCUUGUUUCAUUAACUUAAGUUUAUAAUGCUAUGGGCAUGUAUAAA